rnacentral:antisense_RNA from 1 species
CCAAGGGGAAAGUGACUUUACCCAAGAGAGAGAUUUUUAAAUAUUCCCCCAACUGCUCUGAUGGGACCGUCUAGUUGCAGGAAAACAAGCUCAAGGCUCCCACUGAUUCUACAUUACAUCCAUGGAAAAACUGUCUUCCCUGGUGCCAAAAAGGUUGACCGCUGUUCUGCAGCAAGGUCUUUAAACAAUGCCUGGGACAUAGACAAUCCCUCAGAAAGAUGCUUAUCUAAUGUUCCCAGUGGUCAUGACUUUUGGCAAGAAAGUCUGAGAUGUGACCGGCUGCACAUGACUUUACCUAAAAGCUUGCUAUGUGAAGGACACUUUCUGGAGAGUGGGUGUAGGAAUUCAUUGUUUCACUGCUGCCCAAGACAGCACUACUGUUUGUAAGCCCCUAUUAAAUAUUUCUUUCUGAGAAA